UGACAGCGGAGGGCCCACGACCUUCUUCUAGCAGCUUCCACGACAUGAAGGAAGGGGGGUGAGGAGAAAAAGGGAAGUGGCGGCCGGCGACGAGGCGAAGGAGCGUGGAGCGGAGCAAUGGCGACCGCCUCAGUCUCUUUCAAGUCACGAGAGGAUCACAGGAAGCAACUUGAAUUGGAGGAAGCACGGAAAGCCGGUCUUGCUCCUGCAGAGGUGGAUGAAGAUGGAAAGGAGAUUAAUCCUCACAUCCCACAGUAUAUGUCCUCUGCCCCAUGGUAUCUUAAUUCAGAGAAGCCUAGUUUGAAACAUCAACGGAAAUGGAAAUCGGAUCCAAACUACACCAAGGCAUGGUACGAUAGGGGUGCAAAAAUAUUCCACGCCAAUAAAUACAGAAAAGGUGCUUGCGAAAACUGCGGGGCCAUGACUCAUGAUAAGAAAUCAUGCAUGGAACGGCCUCGAACUGUGGGAGCAAAGUGGACUAAUAUGCAAAUAGCUCCUGAUGAAAAGGUGGAGUCAUUUGAACUAGAUUAUGAUGGCAAACGUGACCGGUGGAAUGGUUACGAUCCAUCAACCUACACCCGUGUUAUUGCGGAGUAUGAAGCCAGAGAAGAGGCACGAAAAAAAUACCUAAAAGAACAGCAGCUCAAAAAACUUGAAGAAAAGAAUGGUAACCAGGAUGACAUUGAUGUGGGCAGUGAUGAGGAUACAGAGGAUGGCCUGAAGAUAGAUGAGGCUAAAGUUGAUGAGAGCAAUCAAAUGGACUUUGCUAAGGUGGAGAAGCGUGUGCGUACAACAGGUGGUGGAAGCACCGGAACUGUGAGGAACUUGCGUAUCAGAGAAGACACAGCCAAAUACCUUCUAAACCUCGAUGUAAAUUCUGCAUAUUAUGAUCCAAAGACUCGUUCAAUGCGUGAAGAUCCUUUGCCAGAUAUGGACCCCAAUGAAAAAUUCUAUGUGGGAGACAACCAAAAUAGGCUUAGUGGACAAGCUCUGGAGUUUAAGCAACUCAAUCUUCAUGCUUGGGAAGCUUUUGAAAAGGGUCAGGACAUCCACAUGCAGGCAGCACCAUCCCAGGCUGAAUUACUGUACAAGAGUUUCAAGAUUAAGAAAGAGAAACUGAAGUCUGAAACCAAGGAGAAAAUUAUGGAAAAGUAUGGGAAUGCUGCUUCUGAAGAACCACUACCCCGGGAGCUUCUUCUUGGACAAAGCGAGAGAGAGAUUGAAUAUGAUCGGACUGGACGUAUAAUUAAAGGGAAGGAUACAUCUGUUCCUAAGAGCAAGUAUGAAGAAGAUGUCUACAUCAAUAACCACACGAGUGUCUGGGGUUCAUGGUGGAAGGAUCAUCAGUGGGGCUAUAAAUGCUGCAAGCAGACUAUUAAGAAUAGUUACUGCACAGGUUUGGCUGGAAUUGAGGCUGCUGAAGCUUCAGCAGAUUUGAUGAAAGCAAACAUGGCCCGCAAGGAGGCUGCAGAAGAGGAGCCUGUACAACAUGAAGAGAAACGGCUUGCCACUUGGGGAACUGAUGUCCCUGAUGAUCUUGUUCUUGACAAAAAGAAGCUUGCUGAGUCUUUAAAGAAGGAGGAUGAAAGGAGGCGAGAGGAAAGGGAUGAAAGGAAGAGAAAAUAUAAUGUCAAGUGGAACGACGAGGUCACUGCGGAGGACAUGGAAGCCUACCGUAUGAAGAAAAUCCACCAUGACGAUCCAAUGAAAGAUUUUCUGCAUUGAACAACACGUUUGUGGAUGUUAUAACUAAUAAGCGCGUUGCUGUUGCCUAUCAUGAUUGUGCAUUGCAAUAUCUGCAUGUCAGCUCUGAUUGUCCAGUUUCUGUCACUAGAAAUUAGAGACGUGAUGGGACAGCAAGACUAGCGCUUGGAUAUUUGUUGGGGGUACGCAGCCUACCUGGACCUGCAACGUCAUUGUAAUUUUUUUUUUUGCGUCAACAUUUGCCUUCUCACUUAAAUUGGAUGAAAUUAUGAUUCAUGAGCAUAUAAGUUAAUGACAUCAUAAAGCUUGUUGAGAAAAACCCCAAGCUAGCAAUGUCAGGAGGUUAUACGACAGGGCAUUUCAAAAAGGUAUAGCAUAUGUAGAUAUAAAACAACGCGCACAAGAUGUGCCUGCUCAUUUGGCUGCACCAGCGGCAUGACACAGAUUGUGCAACCAAGUUUCCUGCACGUAGAAGUCUAAUUUGGAACCUCUGCUAUUGUGUUUAUCAGCUCUCGCUGCUUAAGAAAAAACUGAGAAGCUCGGCGUCGCGUAUCUUGAGACAGGCCGUGGCCGCCAUCACUGAGAAAAUAAUCAUGUGUGCCUCUGUAUCCCAAACCAAUGAAAUCUCGAUGUAUACUUGGUAAUGUUGAACAUACAAAUACAUGCUGGGAGGAAAGGACCUGGAGCCCUUGAUUGUGCCCUUCCUUUCAGCUGAUGGCGUGUAUUAACCCAGAUUGUUGUCUAGACAAUAGUGAUAAUAUGGCAAGAA